UGUUUGUGAUGUUAUUCUGAGUGUGUAUCCACACCGGGCAUUUUUCAAAAAUAUGCCUGGCCACGGUAGGAAUCGAACCUACGACCUUUGGAAUACUAGCCCAAUGCUCUGCCAGCUGAGCUUCGUGGUCAGGUCGGUUCGAGUAUGUGAUAUUUCGGAACUGAGUUUAGUUCUUUUUUUUCUGUGCUGGUGUUGUGUACUCAGGUGAAUAAGAUGCUUGUGAUGUUACUCUGAGUGUAUAUCCACACCGGGCGAGCUUGAAAAAUAUGCCCGGCCACGGUGG